AGGAGGAGGAUUACCGGGUUCUUCUCCAUUCGGGUUUUUCCCUCUGCAGUCGAACCUCAUGGAGAACAGGUCGCUGGUGCCGCCGCCCAUCCGGCAGGUCAAUUUCUUUUGACCGAAAGAAUAAUUAUGAUCUCCCGACGUUUAACAGUAGCAAUAGAUCAUUAUCAUCCAGCGUGUGUGUGUGGAGUUAUAUUUUAUAUGAGUGCUAGGCUCGAACAAUAAGCCGCCGCGGCGAGGCGACGAUUCUACUUCAGCAAUAGCAACCUCCUCCACGAUGGUCUUCGUCAAGCGAUGAUCGAUGUACGAAUUCUCCACUGUUUUGAUGGUCAUGUUCCUUUGCUUUGUGUGGUUUUAAUGCUAAUUUUGGAGGUUCGGAAUUGGGAAUUGGCGAGCUUGGUUCUCAUAUCAUUCUUCUCCUAUCUACAUUUGUCUCGAUGCAUGUAAGAAUUUCUUAUCUAGGUGAUAUCAUGUGUUAGUAUGUCCAUUUAAGUUUUAGCUUUGUUAUUUUCCUUCUCUAUGCAGCCUCUUUGUAUUGGAGUAUUUCAUAUGUGAGUUAACUAUCUUGCUGAAUAUUUAUUCUAUAUUUUAGAUGGUAGAAAGUGUCCCUUAAAUAAUAAUUUUGUAGCAUAUAUACCAUGCCUGAACGUACGAUUAAGAGAUUCAUGGAUCUAUGCAG
rnacentral:lncRNA from 1 species